rnacentral:rRNA from 1 species
UACAGAGGUCCCAAGCGUUGUUCGGAUUCACUGGGCGUAAGGGUGCGUAGGCGGUCGGGUAAGUCUGAUGUGAAAUCUCACAGCUUAACUGUGAAACUGCAUUGGAUACUAUUCGGCUUGAGAGUUGGAGGGGGGACUGGAAUUCUUGGUGUAGCAGUGAAAUGCGUAGAUAUCAAGAGGAACACCAGUGGCGAAGGCGAGUCCCUGGACAACUUCUGACGCUGAGGCACGAAAGCUAGGGGAGCAAACAGG